rnacentral:rRNA from 1 species
GUCUACAGCCAUGCCACCCCGAACAAGCCUGAUGUCGGAAUCUAAGCAGGGUCGGGCCUGGUUGGUACUUGGAUGGGAGACCACCUAGGAAGACCAGGUGCCGUAGGCA